AGCGAACGCUGGCGGCAGGCCUAACACAUGCAAGUCGAGCGCCCGUAGCAAUACGGGAGCGGCAGACGGGAGAGUAACACGUGGGAACGUACCCUUCAGUUCGGAACAACCCAGGGAAACUUGGGCGUAAUACCGGAUACGUCCGUAAGGAGAAAGAUUUAUCGCUGAAGGAUCGGCCCGCGUCUGAUUAGCUAGUUGGUGGGGAAUGGCCCACCAAGGCGACGAUCAGUAGCUGGUCNGAGAGGA
rnacentral:rRNA from 1 species